AUGAUUGAGCCUCAUGGCUCUGUUACUGACAGACGUGGGCGUAAGACUCCUCGGGAGUCAGAUACUCUCGAGGAGCGAGAGAGAAAAAGACUGCGAGACAUAUUUGCAGCACCAUCUGACGAAGAAUCUUUCGAAGGGUUUACGGAGAGAAUGGAGGAGGGGCUGGUUAGCUCAGAGGAGGAUGAGAUGGAUUGGACUCGGGUAAGGGAGGAAUUGGAAGAAGGGGAUUUGGUGUGGUUAUCUUCCAAACAUAUUAAACAGGCUGGGGGAAAGUUUGCGCCUCGGUAUUUGGGUCCCUUUCCUAUCGUUAAAAAGAUUUCUUCCGUUGCGUUUCGUUUGCGUUUACCGUCUAGUUUAAAGGUCCAUCCAGUCUUUCAUCGUUCGCUGUUGAAACUUGAUACCUCUAGUCGUCGUGGUGCUAUAGCGGAGGGUAUCACUGCCACUUCUCCGCCAUCGGGGGAGGAGGCCUUUGUGAGAGGGGAUAGUGUUAUGAUUGAGCCUCAUGGCUCUGUUACUGACAGACGUGGGCGUAAGACUCCUCGGGAGUCAGAUACUCUUGAGGAGCGAGAGAGAAAAAGACUGCGAGACAUAUUUGCAGCACCAUCUGACGAAGAAUCUUUCGAAGGGUUUACGGAGAGAAUGGAGGAGGGGCUGGUUAGCUCAGAGGAGGAUGAGAUGGAUUGGACUCGGGUAAGGGAGGAAGUGGGUGCCACUGGCCAUGAUGGGACAGAAGAUGAAUGGGGACCUUCAGGAUUAGACCCAUGGUUUAGCUGGAGGGAUGGGACGGGAUCCACAGCUGGAGAUGCUGUUGGGCGUAGUCAGAGGUGUUCCAGCUCUGACGAGGAAAGUGAUGAGGAAACGCCCGGGUUAAGGAGGACAGCUGACAGUGAUGAAGAUUUGUAACUGGCAUAAAAUGGGGCUUGGGAGCAAUUGCAAAUUGCGUCGGGCAAGGUAAUCUGGGCAAACGCUUGGGAUCCGUGUGUGUGUGGGACGCUUCCCUGAAGACUUGUGUGCUUUCCUGUGCUGAGACGUAAGUUGAUUGGAAUCCAAGGUCAGACGGCGGGAGGGAUUGUGUGGGCAUUUGUUUGUGCAAACCUGUGUUUACUCUUAUUAGCUUGACCUUCCGUCGUCUUUCUGACGGACGCCAUCUCCU
rnacentral:lncRNA from 1 species